GCUUCUCCUUGUGUGUGACGCUGCACCUGCUGCCCUAGCAGGACCGGCGCUCGGCACAGACGGACGCCAACUUGACCCGAAACCCAGGGAUGCUCUGUCACCUCCUGCAGCCGACAGAUGUUCCCGACAGCCAGACAUGCACAAACCAGGAUGCUGCAGGUCCAGGUGAAACGUGCUCCAUAUUAUGAGACUCCAAAAAACAAAACCGUUUUUCAAUCAGCCCCGAGCAGACACCAUCCACGUGCCCCAAUUAUGAGAAACCGUGGACCCCUUCUGAAAUGAAAGUUAACUUCUCUCUUUCGUGGGCAUUCCUGUGAGACACUUUAAUCCUCCCAGCCAGCAACGCCAGUGGGUAAACGGGGAAAGUGAUGGGUAAGGAAGUAUCCCUCAGCACUGUGUGGGACUAGAUCCUGGGAGGCGACCUGGUUCUAUUACUUCUCCUUUUUCUCUUUUCCCUGUUCUUCUUCUUCACGGGCAGCUUUCUGGGGAGCCGGGGGGAGAGGGUUGGGGCAGGAGGUGACCGGGGUGAAAGCAGCCCAGGACACAUCAUAAGAAAUCGAAGAGAGACAAGCUGUGAACUUCUGCAAACAGGGACACUGGCUGCCUCAACUAUGUUGGAUUCGACCUUCCUCCCGGCUUUAAGGUUUUCUCUGUGUCUCACUGCAGGGUGUGGGUGAGGAUGAUACACAGCGUGUUUAAUAAAACGAGACAAGGAACCAAGAAGCGUUUAGCAUUAGGAAGAAUGAACAUCUCCUACAAAUACUUUACAGCUACUUCAAACAGGAAAUCGCCUUCACAAAACAACAUUCCGAUGGCUCAGGCACAAGUGACUCAGGGACACAUGGACUGAAUGUCCUUCACAAUGCACGUGGCUUUAAAAGUCCGGGGGAGCUUGGUUGGCAGAGCGCAGCCCCCAAAAGAGAAAAGAAGUCUGUCAAACUGCCCUCCAUGCGGCCCCCCUUCCUGGUGCUUUCUCUGGCGACUGAGUCGAUCGGCUACAGAGGCUCUUACCUAAGACACUUGGAACAAUCUUCUUGAAAAUGGUUGAACUCUCCUUCCCUAUUUAGGCAAAGUAUUCAAUAAGUUUGUCAUAGCUGGCUCUGCCCUCACCCCCAGUACCACAGGCAUCAAACACAGAGGACAACUUCUGUAAAAAAGUUUGAGCGCCUCAGGCCCUCGACUCCCGCAGUCUCUGUGACAACUGAGUACAGCUGCCACGGAAGGGCGUCUUCAUUUCCUCUUAAUCCUUUUGGAACCGACUUUAAGAGUAUACUACCAUUUUUGCAACUUAAAGAUGCAAAUUUUAGACAAAGCCCACAAUAAUCUGGCUCUGUUUGACCUACCCAGCUUUUCUGUGUUUUCGUCACACAAAACGCACACAGAAAUACUCCACCACUUCCAUCACUGGGAAAUACUGCAGCACUUCUCUCUCGUGCCCCCACUGUGCCCCAAACGCCGGCUCCUUUCAGCAGUCAGCUCGUUUCAGCAGUCGGCUUUCCGCAGGCCCCGCGGGUGACUCCGCUGCACCCCAAGGAGAAUGUCUCCCGGUGCUCAGGGCGGGGCCCCACGCUGAUCGAGGGUUGCUGAUGUGGUGAGUCUGCAAUGGGGUCUGAGAACUGGCUUUUCUGACGAGUGCCCGGCUGACACGCGGAAGCUGACCUGGGAAUCACGCUGAGAACGUCAGGUAGAAGGUGGACCGCCUCUUCACGCCGUGCCCCUAAAUCCCGGACAGUGAAUUCCAUGAAAAUCUGUCUGUUUUCCCAUGAUCCAGUAACACACGGUAUCUGGCUCAGAGAAGGGUGGCUCAAGUAUUUGCUGAGUUAACAGAAACUCAGAAAAAGAUCUGGGCUGCCGAAAUACAACUAGCAACUAAAGCCUUGGAAGAAAAAGAGAGGACCUAGAAUUGAGUCAUUAGGAAAACAACCAUUGAAAGACGCGGGGAGACGGAGACUACGGCAGGCUUACACGGAAGGACCCGGCAGAGACAGGAGGCUGAAGACGGAAGGGAGAAUGCAAUGAUCCAACCCACAGGGUCUUUCUGAGAUGUUACGGCGGACAAAGGGUUAGCUUUCGGGAGGAGGACUUCUUGCCCAGCUGUCAGAAGGGAUGAGUUUAGGAAGGGGGUGGACACAGGUAAGUUCAGUCUUUGUGAUGGAAGGUUGAGGGCAUCAGCUACAGCUGGAUUCCCUUUUCUUGGGAGAGUCCAGGACCGGUGAAGUGUUGACCUGCAUUUAUAAUGAG